rnacentral:lncRNA from 1 species
AUUAGUGGUAGGCCAAUGUUAAUUGGUAUUCAGUUGUAUAAGCUUUGGCACAUCUCAUUUCCUUGGAGAAUAUUUGACCUCACCCCUCAGUCACAGUCAAAUGACUUUGAAACUUAUCUUAGUUUACAUGUAUUAGUUUAUGAUUAGAUCAGUUUAAGAUGAACUGCUAAUGUUAAGUCAAUGAUAUUUGGUAUGCAAAUUUAUUGGCAUUUGCAAGUAUCGUUUCCAUGGAGAUUAUAUAGCCCCACCCCCUCUUAUUGACUUUGAAACCUUUGUAUAGUUUACUAGUUAAUGUUUGUAUUUAGAUUUGGGAACGACUUAUUAUAAUUCAAUGGUCAUGAUGGUAUUUGGUAUGCAGUUGUAUAAGCAUUGGCACAUCUCAUUUUCAUGGAGAUUGUUUAGCCAUGUUACUCAGUCAUGGUUCAUUGAUUUUGAAUAUUUUCAUAAAUUGUGUAAGAUGUUAAAGUAUUGCUAUUUUGAUUUCAACAUUUGCAUAAUCAAAAUUACAAAAAGGCGAGACA